UGGAACCCUAUUCCCUAUGGGCCCUGGUCUAAAGUAGUGCACUACAUAGGGAAAAGUGUUCUAUUUGAGAUGAAAAACAAAAUGACUUCGAUGUCUAUCUAAUCACCUACCUCCAGGGGAAACAUGUGACCAACCUGAUUACUAUUUUGUUUUCUUUUUUUCCUUUUUAUUUUUGUUGGUUUGUAAAAAAAAAAGGAGUAAAACAGAAAGUAGAAAGGUAAAGUAGAUUAACUAGCCAGAUCAGAAUGAAGAAAGGUAAAGUAGAUUAACUAGCCAGAUCAGAAUGAAGAAAGGUAAAGUAGAUUAACUAGCCAGAUCAGAAUGAAGAAAGGUAAAGUAGAUUAACUAGCCAGAUCAGAAUGAAGAAAGGUAAAGUAGAUUAACUAGCCAGAUCAGAAUGAAGAAAGGUAAAGUAGAUUAACUAGCCAGAUCAGAAUGAAGAAAGGUAAAGUAGAUUAACUAGCCAGAACAGAAUGAAGAAAGGUAAAGUAGAUUAACUAGCCAGAUCAGAAUGAAGAAAGGUAAAGUAGAUUAACUAGCCAGAUCAGAAUGAAGAAAGGUAAAGUAGAUUAACUAGCCAGAUCAGAAUGAAGAAAGGUAAAGUAGAUUAACUAGCCAGAUCAGAAUGAAGAAAGGUAAAGUAGAUUAACUAGCCAGAUCAGAAUGAAGAAAGGUAAAGUAGAUUAACUAGCCAGAUCAGAAUGAAGAAAGGUAAAGUAGAUUAACUAGCCAGAUCAGAAUGAAGAAAGGUAAAGUAGAUUAACUAGCCAGAUCAGAAUGAAGAAAGGUAAAGUAGAUUAACUAGCCAGAUCAGAAUGAAGAAAGGUAAAGUAGAUUAACUAGCCAGAUCAGAAUGAAGAAAGGUAAAGUAGAUUAACUAGCCAGAUCAGAAUGAAGAAAGGUAAAGUAGAUUAACUAGCCAGAUCAGAAUGAAGAAAGGUAAAGUAGAUUAACUAGCCAGAUCAGAAUGAAGAAAGGUAAAGUAGAUUAACUAGCCAGAUCAGAAUGAAGAAAGGUAAAGUAGAUUAACUAGCCAGAUCAGAAUGAAGAAAGGUAAAGAGAUUAACUAGCCAGAUCAGAAUGAAGAAAGGUAAAGUAGAUUAACUAGCCAGAUCAGAAUGAAGAAAGGUAAAGUAGAUUAACUAGCCAGAUCAGAAUGAAGAAAGGUAAAGUAGAUUAACUAGCCAGAUCAGAAUGAAGAAAGGUAAAGUAGAUUAACUAGCCAGAUCAGAAUGAAGAAAGGUAAAGUAGAUUAACUAGCCAGAUCAGAAUGAAGAAAGGUAAAGUAGAUUAACUAGCCAGAUCAGAAUGAAGAAAGGUAAAGUAGAUUAACUAGCCAGAACAGAAUGAAGAAAGGUAAAGUAGAUUAACUAGCCAGAUCAGAAUGAAGAAAGGUAAAGUAGAUUAACUAGCCAGAUCAGAAUGAAGAAAGGUAAAGUAGAUUAACUAGCCAGAUCAGAAUGAAGAAAGGUAAAGUAGAUUAACUAGCCAGAUCAGAAUGAAGAAAGGUAAAGUAGAUUAACUAGCCAGAUCAGAAUGAAGAAAGGUUAUUGUGCAUGAUGUUAUUGUCAACGGUUCUAUUUCAUAUGCAAAACAUUUUAGUCUUUUUUGAAAUUAUUACCUAGAAAAAUACUGUAAUUUGAAUUAUAAUUUAAAUUUGGAGGCCCAAUAUGAUUCAACACUACUGUGCUAAUUUAAGAUAUUUACUUAAAUUAAUCUAUUAAAAAUACAAUUAUUGUAAAAAGGUUAUAUAUAGAUUAUAAUUCACAUGUGUUUGUAUUUAAAAUAAAUAUAGAAAAAGGAAUGGAAUGUGUUACAGAAAGUAGUGAAAUUAAAAUGCAAAAUGAAAGAUGCAUAGUGGAAUUGAAUAUUGACCAAUUAUAAGCAAUGCCCAUUAUGGGAAAGUGCAACCUGAAAGGCCAAAUCUCCAUAUCUAUGUAAAUAAUAUUAUUUCUGUUUUCCAAGAUCCGGACAUUUUUACCACUAUUUUACCCCUUACUUAUUUUCCCGGAGCAACCCUUUGAAAAGCACAAAGGCCAGUGUGGAUCUCAAAACUUCCCAUUUGGUAUGACUAUUACAAAAUGCAGAUUAACAUUAUCAUACCAGAGACUGUUACAAUUGUAUCUUUGUUUUCUAAAGAACAAUAUUUUUUUUUUUUAAAGAAUCAUUUUGUAGGAUGUGUUCUAUGUAAGAGUGAGAUGGACCAAAAUCAUACACAUGUCAAAAAAAAAAAAGAUUACCAACCUAUUGACAUGAGACAUAUCC